UGGGGAAUAUUGCACAAUGGAGGGAACUCUGAUGCAGCGACGCCGCGUGAGUGAUGAAGGCUUUCGAGUCGUAAAGCUCUGUCCUAUGAGAAGAUAAUGACGGUAUCAUAGGAGGAAGCCCUGGCUAAAUACGUGCCAGCAGCCGCGGUAAUACGUAUGGGGCGAGCGUUGUCCGGAAUUAUUGGGCGUAAAGGGUACGUAGGUGGUUUUUUAAGUCAGGUGUCAAAGCGUGGAGCUUAACUCCAUUAAGCACUUGAAACUGAAAGACUUGAGUGAAGGAGAGGAAAGUGGAAUUCCUAGUGUAGCGGUGAAAUGCGUAGAUAUUAGGAGGAAUACCGGUGGCGAAGGCGACUUUCUGGACUUUUACUGACGCUCAGGUACGAAAGCGUGGGGAGCAAACAGG
rnacentral:rRNA from 1 species